CCUUUUCCCUAUCUUUCGUCUCACCCUCACCCUCACACCAUCUCUAUCUCGACUCUGGCACUGCAAAGAGCGAGCUCUGGAUGAUCUCUGGCUUUCUUUAGGUCAUGAGUGGAAUGAGAUGUGUUGUGGCCUUGUUGGUGUUGUCGUAUAGCUAAGUGUGCUUUAUUUCUGAUAGAUGAAUUCUGUUUAGAAAAUCUUUAUAUGAUUUUUCUGAUUGGAUGAGGUUCAGAAAUAUAAUUUAAUUUAGACAGUACAUGUUCUAUUUCCUGCAUUUGAAAAAGCACAAGAGAUUCAGUUGAUAAUGAAUGACUUGUGUGGGUGUCAACUUAUGAAAAUUAAAGUUUGCUAGACACUCCAAACUGGUUUAUAAUGUUCUCAUCCUCAGGAUUAAAGUACUUAGCAAUUUCGAGGCAAUUUAGAGUCUUUCCUUCAGAGCUAAAUUGCCUAGUCUGCAGGGGUUCUCUGGGACUGAAGGUAGAUCUCCAGUCACUAACAAGACCUGCCCUGCUUAAUAUGACGAAGCCUUUAAUUUAAUUAAAUGAAUUAUCUGAUGGUAUUGGCUGUUCUUGUUUCUUCCCUCUUUGGUAAAUAAAUUGAAGUCUGAUUAUAGCACUCUAAUCCAUUUCACCUGUGAGUGUGGAUUUUUUUUUUCAGACUACAGGGACCUCUAUGAUUCAAUGGCCAAAUCAAUUAUGAAAUGCUUACCGUUUUGGAAGCUGGCUCUAGAGAGAUUCUUGCCGUAGUGGUGAUGCCAAACUGUCCUAGUGUCCCAAGAAUGUCAUAAAAUUAAAGAGUCUGCUGGAUGCAACUGAUAACAGUGACCUGUCUAGUGUGCGUUGAAAAUUUGGAACUUACUCUGGAUUUGUGGAGUUACAUGUAGAGCAAGGGUCUAUUUUGGAAGCUGAAGCUGCACAUUUCCUGUAAAAUGUGAUGCUCUCACAGAAUUUGAAAUGCCGUGCUGCUGGUGCCACUGCAUGCUGCCACCGUUGCUGCUGCUGGCACUGCACACUGCCGUUGUGUCUUCCUCAUAAUCAGUCCCAGUACUGAAGUGUCUGAUGCUAUCGUCUCCCUGAGAGACCAACACGCAAUCUUUGGAGGAUGGAUGCUGCCGAUUUUAAGCAUAGGAAGAAAUGCCCCAAUCUCCCCCCAAACAACCCGCCCUUGGUGAUCAUCAAACCCACACAUUAUGGGUACGAGAGAUGGAAAUGCUGACUACUGGGCUACCACUCCAAGUACUUUAGGAUAAAUAUGUUGCACAUAUUAUCGCUUUUGAUAUUGUACAUACUACUGAAAAAUUCCUAUAGCGUACUUUCUCUAGUUUAAAUAAUUUGUUAUAUCGUCCAAACUCCUUAUUACAGAGUAACACAGAUAAAGAGUAACACAGAUAAAGACAUGAUCAUACAAAAAGAUGAAUGAAUGUUUCAUCUUUUCUA